rnacentral:rRNA from 1 species
CCUACGGGAGGCAGCAGUGAGGAAUAUUGGUCAAUGGACGAGAGUCUGAACCAGCCAAGUAGCGUGAAGGAUGACUGCCCUAUGGGUUGUAAACUUCUUUUAUAUGGGAAUAAAAUGUUCCACGUGUGGGAUUUUGUAUGUACCAUAUGAAUAAGGAUCGGCUAACUCCGUGCCAGCAGCCGCGGUAAUACGGAGGAUCCGAGCGUUAUCCGGAUUUAUUGGGUUUAAAGGGAGCGUAGGUGGAUUGUUAAGUCAGUUGUGAAAGUUUGCGGCUCAACCGUAAAAUUGCAGUUGAAACUGGCAGUCUUGAGUACAGUUGAGGUGGGCGGAAUUCGUGGUGUAGCGGUGAAAUGCUUAGAGAUCACGAAGAACUCCGAUUGCGAAGGCAGUUCACUGGACUGCAACUGACACUGAGGCUCGAAAGUGUGGGUAUCAAACAGGAUUAGAUACCCCAGUAGUC